GACUCUACAUGCUUCAAUAGUGCCCAUUUCGCCUCUUGUAAACCCUUAUGCUUUCCAUAUAAAUAUGUAACCUCACUCAUUAAUAAGAUUAUGCAGUUUGAGUCUCUCUAAUCUCUUAGACACUAUGGUUCUCUCUUAGACACUAAACGGCUCUCUCUAGUCUCUUAAUCUUUCACAAACUUCUCUUAAUCACUUCUUAAACUCUCUCUUUAUUCUGAUUACUCUAAGGAUCUCUUAAUCUCAUAUGGUAUCAGAGCCAGGUUCAUUUGAAUCUGGGGUUUGAUCUUUAGAGAGUUACAAGCUAACGGCUUUGAAGCUACACGCGAGUAGUCUUGAAGGUGUUGA
rnacentral:lncRNA from 1 species